UACGUAGGUGGCAAGCGUUGUCCGGAUUCACUGGGUUUAAAGGGUGCGUAGGCGGACAGGUAAGUCAGUGGUGAAAUCUCUGGGCUUAACCCAGAAACUGCCGUUGAUACUAUUUGUCUUGAAUAUCCUGGAGGUAGGCGGAAUAUGUCAUGUAGCGGUGAAAUGCUUAGAUAUGACAUAGAACACCGAUAGCGAAGGCAGCUUACUACAGGAUGAUUGACGCUGAGGCACGAAAGCGUGGGGAGCAAACAGG
rnacentral:rRNA from 1 species